UACGUAGGGUGCGAGCGUUAAUCGGAAUUACUGGGCGUAAAGCGUGCGCAGGCGGCUUUGCAAGACAGAUGUGAAAUCCCCGGGCUCAACCUGGGAACUGCAUUUGUGACUGCAAGGCUAGAGUACGGCAGAGGGGGAUGGAAUUCCGCGUGUAGCAGUGAAAUGCGUAGAUAUGCGGAGGAACACCAAUGGCGAAGGCAAUCCCCUGGGCAUGUACUGACGCUCAUGCACGAAAGCGUGGGGAGCAAACAGG
rnacentral:rRNA from 1 species